rnacentral:rRNA from 1 species
AUGUCCAACCCUUUCACGUCUUGCGUCGGCGGCAGCGGCGGCGAGCGGCCGCUGACCGCAUCGGCCAUUGUUGCGCAGGCCGUCGGGUCGCACAUCCUGCGCAUCGACGGCUACUCCCGCACCAAAGCCCUCGGCAACGGCACAUGCAUCGACUCCGACACGUUCUCCGCCGGAGGGCAUCGUUGGCGUCUGCAGUACUACCCGGAUGGUUUCGACAACCGCUAUCCGGGUUGGAUAUCCCUCUUCCUCCGUCUUGAGCAUACUACUAGCUGUUUUGAGGGUGAAGUUGAAGCCAAGUUCAAAAUUAGCUUGCUGGACCAGGAGGGGAACCCCGUGCCGUCUUACACCCGUAACAUGGAGUCGCGCACUUUCUCCCACAAACAAGGUGGUAAUGCUGUGUUUGGGUGCGGGGGCCUCAUCCGGCAUUUCGACCUCGAGAGAUCAGAGUACCUGAAGGACGAUGUCUUUAGUCUCAGGUGCGAUGUCGCCGUGCUGGUAAGCAAAAUCGUCACCAGGGCAAUCCCGGUUUCGGCAGUUUGUCGUGGCGUUUGA